rnacentral:rRNA from 1 species
GACGAACGCUGGCGGCGUGCCUAAUACAUGCAAGUCGAACGCAGUGGGGACGGGUGAGUAACCCGUGGGUAACCUCCCAUCAGAGGGGAUAACACUUGGAAACAGGUGCUAAACCGAUACUGAUGGAUGGACCCGCGGGGCAUGAGCUAGUUGGUGAGGUAACGGCUCCCCAAGGCCACGAUGCAUAGCCGAACUGAGAGUGGGAUCGGCCACACGGGAACGGAGACACGGCCCAGACUCCUACGGGAGGCAGCAGUAGGGAAUCUUCGGCAAUGGACGAAAGUCUGACCGAGCAACGCCGCGGGAGUGAAGAAGGUGUUCGGAUCGUAAAACUCUGUUUGUAGAGAAGCGGUAUCUAACCAGAAAGCCACGGCUAACUACGUGCCAGCAGCCGCGGUAAUUC